UAAAGAUCCAUCAAUAAUAGAUGCAUCUUGGCAGCCAGCUGCUGUUGGUCUCAACUCAACGUGAAAGUCAGCUCCGGAGCGUCGGGUGGGAAAAAAAAACUUGACGAGGGCACGAGGCUCAUCUCCAAAUAUUGCUCGCAAUUGGAACCAAUUUUGUCAAAGAAAAAUUCAUAGCAGUGAUCUCCCACCACAUGACAAGCGUCGAGAUAGCAGCAGGAGCAGGAAUUGUCAACGGGGGCGCUCUCCUUUCUUCUUCACUCCUCCACACAUCCAAAAGCCUCGUCCUUCCCACUUCCCACUUCCCACCCAUCAUAUCUCCAUCCCGCGGUUCCGCCCAGCUGCUCCACAUCUCAAUUCUCACCACACACACGCACACACUAUCGCCACCCACCGCCUCAGCUCGAUCGCAACGCGCUUGGCAUGGCGUCCGAGGUGUGGCUAUCGCCGGCGUCUCGCCUCCCAUCCCUCUCCAACGCACCACCUCGCUUCCGCUCCAAGCCUGCCACUACAACCGCCUCCUUGCUCUCUCCCUGCCCCCGCCCCCGCCCUGCCUGUGUUGCGCGUCCGCCGCCGCCGCCGACUUCGUGCCACCGAGCAGCAAGGCCAGGUUCAGGAGCAAGAUGACGAGGUGGUGGACAGGAACAUCCUCCCCUACUGCAGCAUCGACAGGAAGCAGAAGAAGACGCUGGGAGAGAUGGAGCAGGAGUUCCUGCAAGCCCUCCAGGCCUUCUACUAUGACCAGAAGGCCAUCAUGUCCAACGAGGAGUUUGACAACCUCAAGGAGGAGCUCAUGUGGGAGGGGAGCAGCGUCGUCAUUGCUAAACGAAGAUGAGCAAAAGCUUUUGGAAGCUUCCAUGGCCUAUGCCUCCGGCAACCCGAUCAUGUCUGAUGCUGAGUUCGACGAGUUGAAACUCAAAUUAAAGACGAACAGUGUCAUUGUGAAGGAGGGUCCCAGGUGCAGUCUAAGGAGUCAUAAGGUGUACAGUGACUUGAAUGUUGACUACAUAAAGAUGUUUCUGCUAAAUGUUCCAGCCACCACCGUAGCUCUGGGACUGUUCUUUUUCAUUGAUGAAUUGACUGGUUUUGAGAUCAAUGUGUUCCAGCUGCCAGAGCCUUUCGGAUUCAUUUUCACAUGGUUUGCUGCUUUGCCCCUAAUAUUGUUCUUAGCACAGUCAUUGACUAAGGCUAUAGUCCAGGACUUUUUAAUCCUCAAGGGGCCAUGUCCUAAUUGUGGUACUGAAAACCUUUCCUUCUUUGGGACUAUACUGUCAGUCUCCAGUGGCGGUACAACAAACAAAGUGAAAUGUGCAAAUUGCAGUGCCGAGCUGGAGUAUGACUCAAAAUCUCGGGUGAUCACACUUCCAGAAGCAUCAAAUGCAUAAACAUAGAGAUUCGGUGUGGUUCAGAUUCUCAUGCUGGAGGAAAAGGAGGGUGCUCCCAAUCAGAUGGAGCUCAUUACCUUAGCAACAAGCCUGUGAAUGUUGCUUAGGAUCCAUUGUAGCAGGUAUUUUCUGGCUCAAAUUUUACAGAUUGAAGGUAUGAGCUCAUAACUGAAGCUUUCACUUAGAUGGCAUGAACACCUAUUUUGUACAAUUAAAUAUAGCUACAUCUUAUGUGGUCUUUUUACUCUGGAGCACAUGAACUUCUCACCCGAUGAAGGAAAAAUUACCAGUUUAAUCUCGAUGUUAAAUAAAUAAAUAAAAAUCCUAUAUAGUUAAGGUGCAACAUGAUUUUGUUGUGAAAGGAAUUAGUAUGCUCUUUCCUUGAACCAGAAUUAGUCUGGUGUAAACAGUUACUAAAGUUUAAUAGGUUCCACGUGAUGGCUUUUAUACUACUUUAUUUAUUGUAUGUGCUACAGUGAUAAUGUUACACAGUUGAUGCAUUAUUUCCCUUGUUCAGGUAAGUAACACAAGGGAUAUUCCAUGCUCUACCUAUGACCGCUCUUGGGGCUGUUUUGUGUAGUUAAUUUCUAACACAAGUUUUAACAGCCAAUUCUUUUGGGAUCAUGUGCAAUUUGCUGUUAAAAUGAGGUAUGACAAACUUGGGCUUAAAAAUGAUUAGUUAGCACUGAUUGCUCUGAAGUAAGACAAUGGACCUUUAUAUGUAAAUAACUUCUUCAGUACUCAAAAACUCUAACCAAUUAUUAUUAAUGAUGUACAAUGUGCUCAUCCUGAUAAUGAAGUGCAUCUGAGCAUUUGAAACGAAUCUAGAUUCUAGCUCUAGCUAAGGUUAUACAGAUAUUGUGCUGAACCUUGAUGCUACUAUUAUGUGUAGUAAAAUUUUUGGGGUCGGAAUUGACCAAACUUAUGGAUUUAUUCAACGUUUCAAUUCAGUGACAAAUGCUACUAUUUUCUAUAUUCAGAUACUUGGUACUGAUUUCUUGAUCAAACUCAUUAAAGUUAGCAUUCCUUAUAGUUAUCCCCACACGCUGAGGUUGCGCCUGUGCCAGGGCAGAAGACACGCCUACAUCGUGGACGGAUAUGCGCUGCCAUGGACUGACCUCAGCGCAGAUCGUGAUUGAUUUGUGGGUGACCCCGGUUUGAUGUCUGGUUGUUGGGCUGCGCAGGUGGGCUGUCGCUUGGGAUCGAAAAGGAUAGGGCAUCUACUGCCACCAUGGGGUUUGUCGACGACUCCAAAGGGCAUGCUGUCGCUACCAGAAGUGGAGCGAGUGCCCAUCCUCGACGCAGGCCUCCCCACCGCGACUAGAAGUAGGAGUACAUUGUACCAUUAGCAAUAUAUUCAGUCGUGAGGACACUGGUAAAAUUAGUGGAACAAUUUGGACCGAGGAAGUGGUCUUACAUAGCACAACUGCUGCCAGCAGGAGUGGGGAAGCAAUGCAGAGAAAGAUGGCACAACCAUUUGAGGCCAAACAUCAAGUAAUAUUUGGAAUGGUCAUAAGUCAAACUAGACUUCCCUAGCGACAACGAUUCAACGAAUAAGAACCAGGCCAACAGUUAUGUAGUGCAGAGAUCUACUCCCAGUCCCGGGAACCAGCUUCCAGUGCCUCUUGUACCGAUCAUCGGCAAGGGAGUGCUAGAGGAGGAGGUUAUGGUGAGUCACACGUGGGGGAUCGCUGCCGCUGGGUCAAACACCUCGUGCUUCACCAGAACUGAAGCCGACCCAGUCUCCUUCAUCAACAUGGUGACUCCUCCCACUAUUGAGGUACACAGGCACUCAUGCAUCAUCCACUCUGUCCCAUCCUUGCCGAGCGCAACCCAUGGAAGUGGUGGCACGGACUAAGGUGGUGAGCACGACGGAGAGCCAACCUAUAGAAGAUAUGGAAAUAUCACGGUUCACUUGGACAAUUGAGACAUUCACCAGGUUCAGUGGGAAAGAAGCACCAUUCAGAGGUUUUUGUUGGUGGUGGAUUCAAAUGUAUGCGAAGAAUGACAUUCUUUUCCUUGAUUUCCCCUGUUUUGCGACUCCAGCUGAGGCACUUUGAGUAUAUGAGAGAUACCAUGGUAAAGGUAAAUGAUCGCUGAGUUCCCUCUGUAACUUGAUCUGAAUAGAGAUGCUAGCAAAUACAUUGCUCCAAAUGCAGAUCGAAGUACAGAAGACCUUUACACUCUUCACAGACAAUGGCUUUUACCACUUACUGUAAUCUUUCUAUGGAUUUAAAACGAACCAGAUUAUUUACCAUUCGUGACAUGUCCCUUUUUUCUUUAACACCAUGGCAUUUUCUUUUGUUACGACUUUUUAGAAUUCUGAGUCAUAAUGUGCAAAAUUAGAAAUAACUUCUCCAUGGCAUAUAAACACACCUAUAGAUCUAAUUUCUUUAAUUUAUUCACUGCAGGUAAUUUGACGAUACGAGAAAGAACAAUUGGAUCUAGAAUUUGAUGAGUAGCCACUCCAUUAUCACAUAUCCAUGGAUGCUUUGAGCAUUUAGAACGAAAAGAUCAUUGUAUUGUCGACUCCUUGAUGUCUAUGUCAUCUCUUACUGUCCUAUAACUGAUUUAAAUAGUUCAUUUUGGCAGGAAACUGAGAUAAUUGUUUGUUUCUAGAAUGAAUUACUCACUUAAAGAACUACAUGUUAAACUUGCAGCUGCCGCAUGAACUAGAGACUGCACGGAUUAAUGAGUUGCUUGGGAAUAUUCAGGCCGUGGUUACUCCUGAAAUGAAUCAGACAACAAUAAUUGAGGAAUUUGACAAGGGACACCAGCUUGAAGAAGUUAAAACGGUCAAUGAGCAAGUGGUUGUUCCUCCUGUAAAGAAUCUAAGCAAACAAAAAUCCCAACAAAUCCAAGAAGACUAAAAGAGGAGAAUUACUAUCUGUGUUGUUUUUUCUACCAAAUUGGGAGAACUAUGUUAGCAGUUUCAUGAUGAAGUUGCUUGAGGAAGGUUUUGAUCUUUGUGCACAUCUACUAGCUCUAUGACGCUACCAUUUCAUGGAAAUAUCGUGUUUAUCUUAAAGUAAUGACGCAGUGUUUGUUUAAUCAUAGUAUUUUAGUCAUAGGUCAUGUGUUUGGGGGGGGGAUCCUGUUUUGAGACUGGCAGCAAACAUAAGCAGUUAGCUUAGGUUCUGAAGUUUGUCAUUUGCAGCAGCAAGCUCAAGCAGUCAUUUUAGGUUCUAAA